AACGAACGCUGGCGGCAUGCCUAACACAUGCAAGUCGAACGAGACCUUCGGGUCUAGUGGCGUACGGGUGCGUAACGCGUGGGAACCUGCACUUAGGUUCGGAAUAACUCCCCGAAAGGGGUGCUAAUACCGGAUAAUGUCUUCGGACCAAAGAUUUAUCGCCUUUGGAUGGGCCCGCGUUGGAUUAGCUAGUUGGUAGGGUAAAAGCCUACCAAGGCGACGAUCCAUAGCUGGUCUGAGAGGAUGAUCAGCCACACUGGGACUGAGACACGGCCCAGACUCCUACGGGAGGCAGCAAUGGGGAAUAUUGGACAGUGGGCGAAAGCCUGAUCCAGCAAUGCCGCGUGAGUGAUGAAGGCCUUAGGGUUGUAAAGCUCUUUUACCCGGGAUGAUAAUGACAGUACCGGGAGAAUAAGCUCCGGCUAACUCCGUG
rnacentral:rRNA from 1 species